CUCUGUGGCCUGGGGAUAGAGGACUCAGUGAGAAGGGACAGAAAUGGCCCUAAGCACUCGGUGCCAACUGGUAAGUGCCGGCUGUCUCUGCUUCUGCAUGUUCUCCAAACAGUCCCACUGCCUCUGGCUAACAAAACACGUGGAAGAAGGGAGCAAAGAGUCUGCAGGUCUCCCCAAGACUGGAGCUAGCAGCUGAGAGGAGCCAUGAUCCAAGUCCACACUCCAAACAGCCCUCCACCACACCCUAACCCUACGUUUUCUCAAGAUUAGAAAAUGCAAUCAGAAAAACAGUUUGCCAGAAUGGCUCUACUAGACUGGUCCCUCAGGAACAUGGCUCAGGUCCUGCCCAUACUACUUCCCAUUAGAGGAGACUUGUUUUGAAGCCAGCCAAGGCCAACCAUCCAGGAGGAACGGUAUCAGCCAGGGUGGGUUGGGGGCAUCACCUCACUGGAUUUGGUUUCCCUCAAUUUGGGAAGUGGGUCUGCAUAGCCGGAUUUGAGCUCUUGCAUGAAGGUAAUGCUGACUCACAUGAGGCUGAAGUGGAGAGGCGGUUUAUACACAGAGGUAUAUAACCUAGGUAAGGAGCCUGAUCAGAGUGGCGUGUAUGGAUUACGGAGUGGUGUCAGCUGUAUCCUUUAUCCUGGUGGCAGACAAAAUGGUCCCCCUUCCUGGGAGUGGCUAUGCAGGUUGGCGGGCAGAGAGUAUCAAUAACAGAGAUGUUUUAAAAGAUCCACCCAGUGUCUCUGGGGCUUUCCAACACAAAAAGGUGUGUUUCGGUGCAAACAGAUUCUCUGGCUGGGUCAUGGCUGGAUCUCAGGGUCCUGGUCUUCCCUGUGGACAGUGGCUGUCCAAGAGAAGGAUCUUCUCAAGGCUACAGGACCCAAAGCCAGAGGGCACGGAGAGUCCCAGGGCAGGCCUGAGAACCCCAGGUAAGAAGAUCUCAUCUCCACAGCUGGGUGACUUUUAGAACCACUGGAAUUGUGGCUGGGAGAACUCAGGCUACACUGAGACCCAGGGACCUCUGCACACCUCCAUCCUUUCUCCUGCCACCCUGCACUUCCAGGUCUGCUGCUCGGAUGUUUCUGUUAUUUGAUGGCUGCUGUCCUCCCAGCUCCCCAAAGCCCAGAAGAAUAGGAGAUGGAAAGACCUGUUAGCAUCAUAAGCCUGCUGAUCAGCUUCAGGGGAAAGCAAACAUCGGCUGGUGACACAGACAAGCCACUCACACAAGCAGGGGACACUGGAGUCAAUGCCCUCCAUCCCAGUGCAUAGCCCUCAGAACCUGGGGAAGUCUGUGGAGUACUGGGAUUAUAGGCAUGGGCCAUCAUGCCAAGCUACUGACAUCUCUGUGCGAGACACAGGAAAGAAUCAACAGAUGGCAGAGGUUGAAGAUCAGAAAACUGUUGUGACAUCAUACUGAAAGACAUACAGAGAGGAGAAGAUAGGAGACCUGACGAGUGAGUCCAGAGGGCUCCUAGAGAGGGCCUGAACCAGAGUCGGAACAGCUGGCGAAACAUGAUGUGGCCAGAGUGCCAUGGGCCUUCACUGGCUGCAGCUGUGCCACCCAGCAGAGGCUAGAGACGGGCUACCUCUUCUUAAAGCCUCCGUGACACAGCAGAGGAGCACGGUGGCGACCAUCUUGGGAGUGGCACCCUGGGGAGCCAUGCAGGAAGACAGAGGUAGAGGAAGUCAAGGCGAGCGGUGGACUCCACCUGCUGGGCAUGAAGAUACAGAGCCAGCACGAAGACAGAGAUGACGAUGGGUGUCACCACCUUCAGCGCCACCUUGGUCGCAUGCUCAGGGCUGUCAAUGAGAGCCACCAGAAAUUCCUGCCUGACUCUGACAUCCAGCCUCAACUUUCUCACAUGGUGCUCUUGUGGCAAGACAAGGGCAUUUCUGCUGGAUCACCUGUUCUGCCCUGCCUGUCUCCACCCGACUCGGGAUCUGCUCCUCACAGGCCCUCAAGAAUGAAAGAACAGCUGAGCAGAUGAGCAGACGAAUCAUUUGCCUUCCUUAGCCCCUGCAGAAGCUGGCCCUGCCCUACACCUGAGGUGCCCUGUGCUGCCAGCACCCAGGCUCCUGCCAUCCGUGCCACCCCGGACUCUCCCCAGAUCCAGCAGAGGACCGAAGAAGGUGCUGCAUACAUGGCAUUGGCGGUGACCAGCAGGUCAGCGUUGUCAAAAAGGGUGACGCCGGGCACCUCGACGAUGAGCACAUAGAUGAACUCGAUGGCCAACAUGAGCACCAGCUUCCCGAUGCAGCUGAUCUGCAGGAACACGGAGCAGGCCAGCAGGCUGAGCAGCACACUGCUCUCCAGACUUUCCUGAGCUCCUCUAGGGUUGCACAGCCCUAGCCUCACAGUACUGCCCGGUGCUACAGCCCACCAGUGUCGGAGACUCAGCCCUGGCCAGGGGGACAGCCAAUGGCAUGCAGCCCACAGAACCUAGACUGACAAAGACGUUGACAGAGCAAAGCAGGGGACCUGGACUUCUACAGUUCUACCACCUCGGCUGUCCCGGUGAGGCCAGUCUGCUGCCAACAGGGCAAGUGACCUUGGAAACCCCCAAGGACAGAGGGUGGUGGGUGUGGAGGGGCAUGGGAAAGGAGGCAAGAAGCUGUGCUCUGGGCUGGUCUGUCCCCUGUAACCCUGAGCAAGCCACACUACUUCUUGGAAGGAUGUCUAUCUGUCUGGGCACCUUAAUUUUUUUGGUUAAGGAGAGGAGACAUCCACAGGUCCUCAGCACCCCUGGACAUUUCAAGAGUAUGCCAGGCCACCAGGUCUAUAUGUUACCUAAUACUGAGGGCUGGUAAGUUGACAUCAGAAGCUACCUCCCCCGUGCUCCGAAAACAGAAAAGAAAAAAAAAAAAAACAGGUAAGUUCAUUCUCAUGAAUUAAAAGAUUUUGUGGAGAAAAAAAGUUCAAGAAAGCAAAAUGAAUACUAAUAAAAUGAGGGGACCUCAGAGCACCCAUGCGCUGCUGCAGGAAUGGCCAGAUAAUGCUCCUGCUGUGGGCGGGCUGCAGAGGUAUCUUAAAAAUUAAGGGCAAAUUGUAUUCAGCACUUCCAGCCCUGGGUUUUUACACAGAAUUACUGGAAGCAGGGACUUGAGCAGACCUUUGAGCAUCCAAGUCCACGGCAGCAUUGCUUCUAAUUGGGUGGAGAUGGAAAAAUUCUCAGAUGUCCGUGAAGUUAAAAGGAAAAUACGCUGCAGCCACAGGGUGCAUGUACUGGGCCACGAGACGGAACGACCUGAGGGCGCUAUGAUGUAGGGGAGCCUUGGAAUCAUUAUGCUAAGUGAAGGAAGUCUCAAAGGGCAAUCUAUUGUAGGAGCCAACCCCUUUGUAUGCGGUAUGGAGAGCAUGCAAAUUCAGUGGACUAGAGGUUACCUAUUACUGCCGGAGGGGCACAAGGAAGAAAACAAACAUGAGGCUUCUUUUAUAAUGAUGACAGCAUUCCAGAAUUAGUACCAAUAAUUGCAUAUACUAAUACACCCAAGACUCGUAUAUUACAAAUCCGUCUGCCUUUAUACAGGUACAUUGUAUGGAAUGUGACUUGGCAUCUUCAUACAGCCUUGUUCCAUCUCUUCAGCAGCCCCAGUAAUCCUGGGGACACUGUUAACUUCUCUGAGCUUUGGUUUCCUUAUCGGCAAAUGGGGACUGCUGUCUCAUUUGAAAAGGCUUUGUAAGCUCUUCCGUGUGGUUUGAAUGGGAAAUGUCCCUCACAGGCUCUCACAUUUGACACUAGGUUCCUGGGUGGUGGCUCUGUUUGGAAAUGCGGUGGAGCUGAGGGGCAGUGAGGAAGGGCGGGGGUGGGGUGGGUCUGCUUCUGCCACCUCCAGCCCCGCCCUGGGGACCCACUUGGAAGUCCUGAGCAUUGCCCAGGCUGUAGUUAGCUCUCUAUUGCCUUGAUGAACCCCACGACAAAGAGCAACCUAGGGAGGUUCAUCACUGACAGAAGUUAAGGAACUCUGGAGACAGGAAUCUGGAUGCAGAAACUGGUGCAGAGGCCAUGGCGGAGUGCUGCUACUGGCUUGCUCUCCACGCCUUCCUCAGCCUGCUUCCCUAUACCAUCCAGGACAACCUGCCCACAGCAGUGGGCUGGGUCCUCACUCCUACAUCAAUCAUUAAUAAAUUGCUCCACGGGCUAGCCUACAAGAAAUAUUUUUCACAGUUGUGGUUCUUCUCCCCAGAUAACUAGCUUGUAUCAAAAAAACUAAACUAAAAGACCCAGCUGCAUAGCUGAGUGUUCUCGCUGGCUCCUGUGUCCUGCUGGAAGAUGCCAGCCUUCUGCAUUGAAGCUGUGCUGAGGUGCCACAGGAAGGCACAACAACUGGACUGGGAGAAAGGGAGCCGCCAUUCUUUCCCACUGGUAGGCACGGGCCUGGGCUUCUUCCUAAGACAAUAAGGUUACUACAGAGACACCGAUGGAGCAGCUGGAAUGGGCACAGAAGGGAGCGGCUGUACCCAAGACACGUGGUGGCAGCAGAAAACAGACUGGAUGAGGCAUACUAGGGGCUGUGGGGGCUCCAAAACAAGCUGACACACUGAGAAGUGAGACCAGGCCUGGGGACAAGAUGAAGAGCCCAGCACUGAAUCAACCUUCUCAAGAAGUCUAGAUGUCUGUGCACAGGCUGAAGCGUUCCAGGAACUCGGUGAUAAGAUGGUCUGCACUCUGGAGGAAGCAUUUAAUAUUCCCUGCUAUGUAUCUGCCCAAAGCUGUCUCCUCAUCCUUGGGUGGGCCUCCUACCACAGGGACCAUGGUCCAACUGCACUUGAAGCAGGAACAAGAUCCCCUUGGGAAGCAUCCUUACGGUGCCGCAUUUAGAAGUCUAAUUUCUCACAGUGGAACCUGGUCUCCGAGUACAGUCUGGCAGUCUCGAGGACUGGGGAGCACAAGAGGAGGAAGAGAAUGUUCUCUCCGGAUACUGGGUACACUCAGGCCCUGCUGCCAGCGUGCAAGGUCUGCAUUUUCCUGGGGGAGCUGUGAAGAGAGAGCGCAGCCUCCCGGGCUGCUGCUCCUGUCCCUGCUCAACAUCUGGAGCAUGAACGGGUCAAGGGAGGAGGGGGAAAAACGGGCAUGCUACUCACUUGUCCUUGGGGUCUUCAAAGCCCUGAAGGAGAAGGAGAGAGAGGAAUGUGAGAAUAGAGAGCCAGGAGCACACGCAGGCCUGCGAUGGCCACUGAGUCCAUCAAGGUGGCUGCAUCUCAUGGCUCUCUGCCGGGGGGCACCGUGAUGAACAGAGGAUGACUUGGUGAACACAGUGGGUCCUUCCUAAGGCACAGACUCGGUGCUAGAUGCCAGGGUGCAUUGUGACUUCAUCCUAUCCACUGUCACAACGCCCACCCCCUCCCCCAUGACUCCUUAUAUUCUUUGGGCCACUCCUCCUUCCUCCUGAGCCCUGGCUUGAAGAGAAAUUGCUGAGCUGCUCAAAACUUGACAUGUGUCCACACUCAACACCACACCCAUGCACAUGUGUCCACAUUCAACACCCACCUGCUCAUGCGCACCUGUGCACAUGCAUGCGCGCAUGUGUGCACACACAUCACAUAAAACAAAAUCUACAGGAAACCAGAAGCUUCCCACUUGCAAACAGCCUGGUUCUGGUUACCUACAACCACGUAUGUGGUAUCUGGGAACCAAUGUGUUCCUCCAAGGCUAGAGUUGACCAGAUUUAGGAAGCAAGGAGCCCAUAUGCCACCUGCGGGGGCUGAGUGUCUUUCUGUGGUUCAAGUCUCUAAGCCCUGAGGGAGGGUGAGACCCUCACAGACAGAUGUCAACCACAGAGACCUCCUUAGAGGUAAUCUAGGAACAUCACCAAAGAGAAGCACUGGGGGGGUGGGGGGGCGUCUGCCUGCUGUGGUGGGACUGGGGGAGGGGGUGUCCCUGCGGUCCCAUGAUGUCACCAGACAGACUGCCAGAGCAGGAACUGAGGAGGAUCUCGUGUGGAACACUAGCUAGCAAACAGAAAGUUCAGCAAGUGCUGAUGAACCAGAAAUCCAAACAGAUCCCUGCUGUGGGACAAUGGUCUGUACCCUGUCACUUGUAUUUUAAAUAAACGCUGAUUGGCCAAUAGCCAGGCAGGAAGUAGGGGCGGGGCAACAAGAAUUCUGGGAAGAGGGAAGUUCAGUCUGCAGUCACCUAGACAGAGAGGAAGCCAGACACAAGCAAGCAAGAUGUGACUGCCUAGCUGUAAAAAGGUACCAACCUAUGUGGCUAACAGACAAGUAUUAUGGGUAAUAUAAGUUAUAAGAGUUAGAAGCCUGAGCUAAUAGGCCAAUCAGUUUAUCAUUAAUGUAGACCUCUGUGUGUUUCUUUGGGGCUGAAUGACUGCAGGUCUGGGUGGGACAGAAACUUCAGUCAACAGAUCCCUGCCCCCCUUCAUUCCUGUGAAGAACUUGGCUUAGAAGCCACUGAAACACAUUUCCUCAUGAGCCAGGGCUGGCAGGUGCUAAGUAGACCUGGCAUACCUGUGACAUGAAGGACUCGCAGGACCUCAGCAGCCUCUGGUGGUCCCACGCUGUCAUUCUGAUCUGUACCCAGGUGGCUAUACCUAGUCUGGGGUGGCCAGUCCAUCACUGUCUGCCCAGACCAGCCAGACCCUUGUCCUCACUCUCUGAGACUAACGCUGCCUUCUCUUUAGACUACAGAAACUUUCUCAUGUCACCCUCCUUGCUGUAGAAGUGGGUGUUAUACAGCUGAGUGUUUUGUUUGGGGCAGGCCCAUGUAUGGGCUCUCAUGACCCCUCAAUGAGUUCAGCAUAGCCAGAAACAGAGAUGGAUAGGCAAGCUGUCUACAAAAGGCCACCAUGAGCCUCCAGACCAUGGAGUUCCAUCCGAUGAGCCAGCACAAGCUAAUUAUACAACUGGGAACAAUGGGGCUACACAUAUACAAGCCCAUCUCCACAGAUCAAAAAUACCCCCAAGUACCUUGUUCCUGGCCUCUGUCAAGGAUACACUUUCUUCCCUGUACUGAGCAGAAAGAUGGAUUGAAUCUCGGUCCCUGGGGGAUGCCAUGCUGUUGUGGGUAGUUGAGGAUCCACUGAAGGUGGUAGGUACAUUGAGAACAGGAUAGAAGACAUUGCUAUCCAUAAACCAGCUCAGUACAACUAUUAAGAACAGGCCAGGCUGGACUGUGGCUCAGGGUUGGGGCAUGAACCCAUAUGACUUUCACCGGUACCACUGCAAUCCACCUACCCACCCAUGCAUCCAUCCACCCACCCAUGCAUCCAUGCACCUAAACCUCAGUCUAGUGAACUAGGAACCCUCCACUGUCUAUGCUCACGACUGCUAAGACCUGGUCACUUCAUCUCCCUCAUCCUGCUGGUCUCAUCCUGUCUCCCAGCAGGGCAGGCAGAGAGCAUCUUUGGAUUAAUCAUAUAAGCUCAGGCCACACACAUGUGCCCGUCAGCCACUUAUUAAUAUACAACCUUAAAGCCUUGACAAGGGGUGUAUUCAAGCACAGAAGCCCAGCUCAGCAAAGCACUUGGCAAGCUGAGUAAAACCUUGAUAAAGAUUUCAACAAACAAAACUGCUGGCCAUGGAUUAGUGCCUUCCCAUUCGCUGUUAGGCUUCACUGAAUCCAAGCCAUCCAUCCACCUUCAAUGGGCUACUUUUGAGUUUGUGUAUUUUCCAGUGCUGUUUUUGUUUGUCUAUUUGUUUUUUAACUCACCCAGUCAGGCAGAAGUGCUCUUUUUGCAUCUUCCUCAAUGAUUUUUGGGAAGCUUAACGCCAAAGCCAGUGGCUGGCAGGACAGCUGUUGAAAUGGGCUUCAUACCCAGCACACACUUCCCCACAGGAUGGGUGAGGCUGGGAAAGGAGGCUUUGAUGCCAGUGUCCUCAGAGAACACUGUGCCCAGUCAGCACGGGGCACCUUGCUCUGAAUGAUCUUCGUCCCCUGCUGGGCUAAGCAAUUAACACCCAGGAGCCCCCCCUGAGGCGCAGCCUCCUCUGGAGCCGUCCCUUCCCACUCACAGCCCCUGCUGCUACUUCUUCCAGAGUUCCCUGCUCUAACAGUGAUGAAUAUGCCUGCCAAACCAGUGCUCACAGCCCAGACUUCCUAGGAAAUUACUGAGGUUGCAGGUUAUUCCAAAUGUCACUGGAAAAUGACCCCAGGGACUGCAGAGAGACUGUGGUUUCCCACAAGGCUACUUUGUCGCUUGCUGGCUGUUUCCUUCCUCCUCUGUACCUUCUCUAAGUUCCUUUUCUUGCUAUCUCUUCCUACUCCAUAUUCCCUUCUAUCCCCCGCCCCCCGUCCCAUCUAUCUUC